CCUACGGGAGGCAGCAGUGGGGAAUCUUGCGCAAUGGGCGAAAGCCUGACGCAGCCAUGCCGCGUGAAUGAUGAAGGUCUUAGGAUUGUAAAAUUCUUUCACCGGGGACGAUAAUGACGGUACCCGGAGAAGAAGCCCCGGCUAACUUCGUGCCAGCAGCCGCGGUAAUACGAAGGGGGCUAGCGUUGCUCGGAAUUACUGGGCGUAAAGGGAGCGUAGGCGGAUAGUUUAGUCAGAGGUGAAAGCCCAGGGCCCAACCUUGGAAUUGCCUUUGAUACUGGCUAUCUUGAGUAUGGGAGAGGUUAGCGGAACUCCGAGUGUAGAGGUGAAAUUCGUAGAUAUUCGGAAGAACACCAGUGGCGAAGGCGGCUAACUGGCCCAUUACUGACGCUGAGGCUCGAAAGCGUGGGGAGCAAACAGGAUUAGAUACCCUGGUAGUCCACGCCGUAAACGAUGAGUGCUAGUUGUCGGCAUGCAUGCAUGUCGUGACGCAGCUACGACAUAAGUACACUCCGUCCGUCGGGUAGGUACGGUCGCGAAGAAGUUAAACGUAACGUAAAGUAAGUAGUUAGACGUGUUAGAGAGCGACGACGACGACGACGGAGGAGGAG
rnacentral:rRNA from 1 species